ensembl:lncRNA LINC01549 long intergenic non-protein coding RNA 1549
CUGCUUAGCUUUGAUCCCUGCAGCCAUGCUCAGCCCUUCCCCCAAGCCCUCCCUUCCAGAUGGAUUGAGGCUGUUGAGACUCCAGGGGUGUUCGGGGCUGGGAGCCUGCUGAGUGUUCCCUGUUCCCACCUCCAAUCUGCUCCAUCCUCCAGCUGCAUUUCAUUCCGGAUCUACCAGGAUCCAACUUUACUACUGUCAUGGAGGGAAUUACAGUAAUUCUACCAACUUUUGAGGCAACCUUCUUCUGACACUGUGUGAAACAGACUGAAAAGACUCUAAAGAUGGAGAGAGCUCAAUGCUUGAGAAAAGGAAUUCUGUCCUUUGAAAGGUCUCUAGAACAAAGGAGUCUUAUUCUGUCACCUAGGCUGGAGUACAGUGGUGCAAUCACAGCUCACUGCAGCCUCGAUCUCCUGGACUCAACUAAUCCUCCUGCCUCAGCCUUCUGGGUAGUUGAGACUACAGAUACAGAAGAUGAGAGAGAGAAAAAGAGAGAAAUUACAGAGUGACGGAGAAGGCAGACAUCAUGCAACAUGCUCAAGGGCUAUUCAUUUUAAGCUGAAACAUACAUGUGUAGAAAGCAUCCUUGUACUUAUAAUCCCAAUGACUAUGAAGAAAAAUAAUUUAGCCAAAUAGUUCCUAGAACAGGAAAAAUAAGGAAUUAUAUUUUGAGAUAAGAAGUUAAGCUCUAGUAUAACAAUGAUAUGGGUCAAAGAAAAAUGAAAACAAAUUUUAAAAACGUUGCAACAUGAAUAAAAGUUUCACCAAAUCGGGAGUCUAUUAUAAGCAUGUUUUGAGUUAUUUUCUUUCCCAAAGACUUCAUUUUUGUUUCAAUUUAUUUCAGUAGUAUACACUUCUGAAAAUAUUUAACUAAUGUCGUACUGGUUCUCGUAAAAGGUGAGGUGGAGCAAUUCCAUUAAGCUAUAGUGAGGUGAAGAGAGAAUAUCUGGUGAAUGAAUUUGAAAUAAGCUCCUUCGCGAUAUGCCCCUUCCAUAACCUCUGUAUCCUUGUCAUCCCAAACUGCCCACAUUUCGCUGAACUCCUUGCACUUCUCAGAGGACAUCUUACCUGUCAACCCACGGUAUCAGUUGGCUGGGGGAGGUCCCCAAAUACUGGUGAGACCCUGACCCCUGCUAAUGUCCAGGCACCUGACACCGAUAUAGAAGGAAUCCAAAGACGACGAGUCAGAAAACAGUGACUGUAUGAAGAUUUACUGCAAAGUGAAUCUCCACGGAAGUGCAGUUCAGGCCUACUCAAGAGAGAGACACUCCCAGAGGGGCUUGGGGCUGCUAUCUUUAUGGGUUUCUUUAGCCAAAGGGUGAAAUAUUCAUGAAGAUUUCUGGAAAAAAGGUGAAGAUUUCUUGGAACUGUGGUGCCACCCAUUUUUACACCAAAUAUGGGUGUUCCCAGAAGUGUCAUGGCAUUGGUGGGUAUGUAAUUUAGUAUGUUAAUGAAUGUACAGUGAAGUCCUCAUGAGACCUAGGUGAAAUCCAGCACCAUGUUGGGUCCAGUCAGCCUCAGCCAGCUUGGUCUACACCCUGGUUUGCAAAGUAUCAGCCCCUAGUUUAUGCAGCUAUUUCAACAGUUUCCUUUUUGCUAGUCAUGUGAAACUGCUGCCUAGAAUUUUCUAUUCUCCUACCACCACCCUGUAUUAUUCCUGUCUCACUACCCUUCAACUUCCACCCCCUUUUCCUCUAGAUACUUG